rnacentral:rRNA from 1 species
AACGAACGCUGGCGGCAUGCCUAACACAUGCAAGUCGAACGAGACCUUCGGGUCUAGUGGCGCACGGGUGCGUAACGCGUGGGAACCUGCCCUUAGGUUCGGAAUAACUCCCCGAAAGGGGUGCUAAUACCGGAUAAUGUCUUCGGACCAAAGAUUUAUCGCCUUUGGAUGGGCCCGCGUUGGAUUAGCUAGUUGGUAGGGUAAAAGCCUACCAAGGCGACGAUCCAUAGCUGGUCUGAGAGGAUGAUCAGCCACACUGGGACUGAGACACGGCCCAGACUCCUACGGGAGGCAGCAGUGGGGAAUAUUGGACAAGGGGCGAAAGCCUGAUCCAGCAAUGCCGCGUGAGUGAUGAAGGCCUUAGGGUUGUAAAGCUCUUUUACCCGGGUUGAUAAUGACAGUACCGGGAGAAUAAGCUCCGGCUAACUCCGUG